rnacentral:rRNA from 1 species
UACGUAGGUGGCAAGCGUUGUCCGGAUUUAUUGGGUUUAAAGGGUGCGUAGGCGGCUUUGUAAGUCAGUGGUGAAAUAUGGCAGCUCAACUGUCAGGGUGCCAUUGAUACUGCAGAGCUUGAGUACAGAUGAGGUAGGCGGAAUUGACGGUGUAGCGGUGAAAUGCUUAGAUAUCGUCAAGAACACCGAUGGCGAAGGCAGCUUACUGGGCUGUAACUGACGCUGAGGCACGAAAGUGUGGGGAUCAAACAGG